UAAAGGUAUUCCGGUAGACGAUGGGGAUGCGUUCCAUUAGAUAGUAGGCGGGGUAACGGCCCACCUAGUCUUCGAUGGAUAGGGGUUCUGAGAGGAAGGUCCCCCACAUUGGAACUGAGACACGGUCCAAACUCCUACGGGAGGCAGCAGUGAGGAAUAUUGGUCAAUGGGCGAGAGCCUGAACCAGCCAAGUAGCGUGGAGGAUGACUGCCCUAUGGGUUGUAAACUUCUUUUAUAAAGGAAUAAAGUCGGGUAUGGAUACCCGUUUGCAUGUACUUUAUGAAUAAGGAUCGGCUAACUCCGUGCCAGCAGCCGCGGUAAUACGGAGGAUCCGAGCGUUAUCCGGAUUUAUUGGGUUUAAAGGGAGCGUAGAUGGAUGUUUAAGUCAGUUGUGAAAGUUUGCGGCUCAACCGUAAAAUUGCAGUUGAUACUGGAUAUCUUGAGUGCAGUUGAGGCAGGCGGAAUUCGUGGUGUAGCGGUGAAAUGCUUAGAUAUCACGAAGAACUCCGAUUGCGAAGGCAGCCUGCUAAGCUGCAACUGACAUUGAGGCUCGAAAGUGUGGGUAUCAAACAGGAUUAGAUACCCUGGUAGUCCACACGGUAA
rnacentral:rRNA from 1 species